AUUGAACGCUGGCGGCAUGCCUUACACAUGCAAGUCGAACGGUAACGGGCCUUCGGGUGCCGCCGAGUGGCGAACGGGUGAGUAAUACAUCGGAACGUGCCCGAUCGUGGGGGAUAACGAGGCGAAAGCUUUGCUAAUACCGCAUACGAUCUACGGAUGAAAGCAGGGGACCGCAAGGCCUUGCGCGGACGGAGCGGCCGAUGGCAGAUUAGGUAGUUGGUGGGAUAAAAGCUUACCAAGCCGACGAUCUGUAGCUGGUCUGAGAGGAUGAUCAGCCACACUGGGACUGAGACACGGCCCAGACUCCUACGGGAGGCAGCAGUGUGGAAUUUUGGACAAUGGGCGCAAGCCUGAUCCAGCCAUGCCGCGUGCAGGAUGAAGGCCUUCGGGUUGUAAACUGCUUUUGUACGGAACGAAAAGCCUUCUUUUAAUACAGGAGGGUCAUGACGGUACCGUAAGAAUAAGCACCGGCUAACUACGUG
rnacentral:rRNA from 1 species